GAUGAACGCUGGCGGCGUGYUUAACACAUGCAAGUCGAACGGGGAACAAAUUAUUGAAGCUUCGGCAGAUYUAGCUUGUUCCUAGUGGCGGACGGGUGAGUAAYGCGUGGGUAACCUSCCUCACACUGGGGGAUAACAGUCAGAAAUGGCUGCUAAUWCCGCAUAAGCGCACAGUACCGCAUGGUACAGUGUGAAAAACUCCGGUGGUGUGAGAUGGACCCGCGUUGGAUUAGCUAGUUGGCAGGGCAGCGGCCUACCAAGGCGACGAUCCAUAGCCGGCCUGAGAGGGUGAACGGCCACAUUGGGACUGAGACACGGCCCAGACUCCUACGGGAGGCAGCAGUGGGGAAUAUUGCACAAUGGGGGAAACCCUGAUGCAGCGACGCCGCGUGAAGGAAGAAGUAUCUCGGUA
rnacentral:rRNA from 1 species